rnacentral:lncRNA from 1 species
UGGGACUAGACGCUUUGGAGUGUUACAGCGAUGAAGAUGCCUAGGCUCCCAGUUCAUCCACGCUCUGCUUGGUUCUGUAGACUCACGGGAUCCUAGAUAUUAAUGGAGCUCCCGUGGGUAUUUCUCAGGGCCCUCAGCGCAGCAUUAGCCGUUUGCUGGUACAACUCCUACAGGCGUGCAUACAACGUCCGCUGGGACCCCAUGUGCCCUGGCCAUCCUAUAUCCCUGACAGGAAGCUCAGCGAUGACACAUUUUCAGAUGCUUGCCAGUGAAAACCAAAAGAAGAGAAAAGAAAAAAAAGGAAAA